UUGUUGUUCAUAUUGAAAGAUCCCACGCAGAGAGACCCUUACUCAAGUCUUGGGAAAUCGCGGACCCCAGACACAGAGAGACCA
rnacentral:pre_miRNA from 14 species